UGCAAGUCGAGCGGGUAGCAGAGAAGCUUGCUUCUCUUGAGAGCGGCGGACGGGUGAGUAAUGCCUAGGGAUCUGCCUGGUAGUGGGGGAUAACGUUCNGAAACNGACNCAUAAUACCGCAUACUCUCCUACNGGAGAAAGCAGGNCGACCUUCGGGCCUUGCGCUAUCAGAUGAGCCUAGGUCGGAUUAGCUAGUUGGUGGGGUAAUGGCUCACCAAGGCGACGAUCCGUAACUGGUCUGAGAGGAUGAUCAGUCACACUGGAACUGAGACACGGUCCAGACUCCUACGGGAGGCAGCAGUGGGGAAUAUUGGACAAUGGGCGAAAGCCUGAUCCAGCCAUGCCGCGUGUGUGAAGGAGGCCCUCGGGUUGUAAAGCACUUUCAGUGGGGAAGAAAGCCUUCCGGUUAAUACCCGGGAGGAGGGACAUCACCCACAGAAGAAGCACCGGCUAACCCCGUGCCAGCAGCCGCGGUAAU
rnacentral:rRNA from 1 species